GUACAGCUGUGACUAGAUAUCAAUAAGCGGAGGAAAAGAAAACUAACAAGGACUCCCCUAGUAACGGCGAGUGAAGCGGGAAGAGCUCAAAUUUGAAAUCUUAAAGGGUUUCCCUUUACGAAUUGUAGUUUAAAGAAGUGUUUUCUGUUGAGGUUUUGGUAAAAGUUCUUUGGAAUAGGACAUCAUAGAGGGUGAGAAUCCCGUAUUUGACCUUUACUUUCAACUUUGUGAUACACUUUCAAAGAGUCGGAUUGUUUGGGAAUGCAGUCCAAAAUGGGUGGUAAAUUUCAUCUAAAGCUAAAUAUUGGCGAGAGACCGAUAGCGAACAAGUACCGUGAGGGAAAGAUGAAAAGAACUUUGAAAAGAGAGUUAAACAGUACGUGAAAUUGUCAAAAGGGAAGCGUUUGACACCAGUGUUGUUUUUCUGAAAAUCAAUUAAAGAACUGUUUAUGCUAAGCUGUUUAGACUUUAUCAGCUAACUGUUUAGUUUUGAGCUUUUCUUUAAUGCACUUUUCAGUUAACAAGUCAACAUCAAUUUCUUUUGCUGUAAAAAAGGCUUGAGGAAGGUGGCUUGAGAUUCGUCUUAAGUGUUUAUAGCCUCUUGCCUAUGCAGUCGGAGAGAUUGAGGUCUGCAGCGUAGAUCCUUCGGGGCUAAAUGCAUUUGUGCUAAGUUAUAGCAUUUUAUAGGCAACUUGUUGACUAUGAUUUGUCUUGUAGCUUACUCGCUUAUGUUAUUUUACCUACGCUUAGGAUGUUGAGUCGUAGAGCACGCAG
rnacentral:rRNA from 1 species